UUUAAUUCUUCGUUUUUAUUCAGACGCAAAAAACAUAUGGCAUAAAUGCGGCGACCCGGUCCGACCGGGUCGCCGAAGCACGGCUUCCUUCCACAGGUUUGAGGGUUUCGGGCCCUGAGGCCGUUCGUUAAUGAUCCCUCCGCAGGUUCACCUACGGAGA
rnacentral:misc_RNA from 1 species